CCCGGCGACCGGCGCACGGGUGAGUAACGCGUAUGCAACUUACCUAUCAGAGGGGGAUAACCCGGCGAAAGUCGGGCUAAUACCGCAUGAAGCAGGGGCCCCGCAUGGGGAUAUUUGCUAAAGAUUCAUCGCUGAUAGAUAGGCAUGCGUUCCAUUAGGCAGUUGGCGGGGUAACGGCCCACCAAACCGACGAUGGAUAGGGGUUCUGAGAGGAAGGUCCCCCACAUUGGUACUGAGACACGGACCAAACUCCUACGGAAGGCAGCAG
rnacentral:rRNA from 1 species